rnacentral:RNase_P_RNA from 1 species
AGCUCACCAGCAGUCUGGUAACAGGCUGGCUCGGUAAACCCCAUCCGGAGCAAGGCCGAAUAGGGAAGGGUUGAUGUUGCCCGCAGACCUUCCGGGUUGUGCCGCUCGAGCGUGCAGGCGACUGUACGCCUAGAAAGAUAAUCGCCACUGCGUAAGCAGUACAGAACUCGGCUUAUUGACUGCUUGUUCCU